rnacentral:lncRNA from 1 species
AGAGUUCUUAAGGGCUCAUGAUUUUAGCACCAUUUGUGAUGUUAUGGCUAUAUUCAUCUGUAGAAUUAACCACAAUGAGUUUGAGGUACUUCAAAAUCAUGAUGUUUCUUCAAGAUCGUUACAAAAUUUAUGGAUUUGUCAAAGUUGGAGGAAUAAAAUAUGGUGAAACAAGAAGAGCUCACCCAGCAAAGGACCAGGCAGUUGGAGGACAAACUGUUUGGACCUUUGCUUCAUGAACUUUUCUUAUGCCACCAUGCUUUAUCUUGUUCCAACAUCGGCAGCUUCCUAAAUCUUUUAAAGGUGUCGAUUACAUCAUCAAGAUUCUAAAAUGCCUCAGAUUUAUUUUUUUGACAACUGUAGAUGAAUUUAUCCAUUCAACAUCACAGAGGAUGUUGAGUUCAUGACCCUUUCACAAUAACUCGUUUUGUAUCUUCAUGUAUGAGCCUAUCCUCAUAGUGUUACCUUCAGUCAAUGCAAACUUCACUUUUUUCCGGUCAUGGCUAAGGAAGAGUAAGAGGAGGAGGAUUGUGAUUUCUUUGGAUAUGGGUAUCAAAUGAGUUUAUUUUUAUCAUCUGUUUCUUUACCUAGGAUUGGUUUCUAUGUAUUAGGGAACUAUAAAUUAUGUGAACAUUUAAUAGUUUGAAUUAGAAG